rnacentral:rRNA from 1 species
UAUUAACCAUAACUAUUUCUUCCCGGCUGAAAGAGCUUUACAACCCGAAGGCCUUCUUCACUCACGCGGCAUGGCUGGAUCAGGGUUGCCCCCAUUGUCCAAAAUUCCCCACUGCUGCCUCCCGUAGGAGUCUGGGCCGUGUCUCAAUCCCAGUGUGGCUGGUCGUCCUC